CAAUGUCAAUGCCAAUCGAGUUAAUACUCAAUCAGCAAAAUAGCACAAAAUUUCAUUAAUUUAUUUUAUGAAUAGUUUAGGAACGUGGAUACAAGUGGUGCAUGGCUAUCGUCAGCUCGUGCUGGAAGGUGUUCGGUUAAGUCCCGCAAUGAGUGCAACCUUCGUGUUUAGUUGCCACCGUUGAGUUUGGAACCCUGAGUAGAUUGCCGAUGAUAAAUUGGAGGAAGGUGAGGAUCAAGUCAAGUCAUCAUACCCCUUAUGCCCUGGGUGAUACACUUGCUACAAUGGACAAGUCAAAGGGUCACGACCCUGCAAGAGUGGGCUAACUCCAAAAACUUACCCUCAAUUCGGAUUGCAAGCUACAACUCGCCUACAUGAAGCUGAAAUUGUUAAUAAUCGCCGAUCAACCAUACGACGGUGAAUUCGUUCC
rfam:Gossypium raimondii Chr08_contig_1147, whole genome shotgun sequence.